UUUAGCAGAGAUGCUUUAGUGCCUUCGGGAACUCUGAGACAGGUGCUGCAUGGCUGUCGUCAGCUCGUGUUGUGAAAUGUUGGGUUAAGUCCGCAACGAGCGCAACCCUUAUCCUUUGUUGCCAGCACGUAAUGGUGGGAACUCAAAGGAGACUGCCGGUGAUAAACCGGAGGAAGGUGGGGAUGACGUCAAGUCAUCAUGGCCCUUACGAGUAGGGCUACACACGUGCUACAAUGGCGUAUACAAAGAGAAGCGACCUCGCGAGAGCAAGCGGACCUCAUAAAGUGCGUCGUAGUCCGGAUUGGAGUCUGCAACUCGACUCCAUGAAGUCGGAAUCGCUAGUAAUCGUAAAUCAGAAUGUUACGGUGAAUACGUUCCCGGGCCUUGUACACACCGCCCGUCACACCAUGGGAGUGGGUUGCAAAAGAAGUAGAUAGCUUAACCUUCGGGAGGGCGUUUACCACUUUGUGAUUCAUGACUGGGGUGAAGUCGUAACAAGGUAGGCGUAGUGCU
rnacentral:rRNA from 1 species